GUCGGCGGUCCUGCAGCGCAAAACGAAAAACAAGGACAAAAUGAAACCGUUACACGCUCAGCGAGCGCAACAACACAAAAAAGGACGACAAAAUACUCGUAACUUUCCAUAAUGUGCAACGCGCGUGAAAAUUCGUCCUUAGCUCGGCGUGAAAAAUAUGCGAGCACAACAGUAAUGACAUUGAAAUGGCGACAGAAAUACAAAAGCAGAAAACGGCCAAAGAAACUGAAACAACGAAUAAUUGCAACAAACACUGCCCCAGCAACAGCAAAAGCAACAGCAAAAGCAACAACAAAAGCAACAACACCAAGAAUAACACUUGAAACAAAGCAAACAACAAAAGCAACAAUUGCAACCAGCAGACUGAGAGAAACGAGCUGUAAACUGAGGCGACACCGAAAAUGGCUGCCAAAUGAACGACACACGAGUGUCGCAAAAAUGUUGCAAAUGCUGCAAGCAACAACAGCAAAGCCAACACAAUGUCAUGCAAUUAAAGUAACAGGAACAGCAGCAACAUCCACAAUGACUUCCAGCUGCAACGUUCAUUGUCAGGAGCAACAUGAGCAACUGCAGCAGCAGCAGCAACAACUGCAGCAGCAACAACAGCAACUACAACAUCAGCCACAGCUGCAACAUCAGCAGCGGCGACAUCCACUUCCGGCGACGACUUCCACGCUGACGCUGCUCCUCUGCCUGGGCCUCAGUUUGGGCCUGGCCGCCACAGCAGCAGCUGCAGCUGGGGCUGGAGCCGGUUCCGGAGGCGGAGGAGGAGCUGCUGCCGGAUCCGGAUCCGGAUCCGGAGCCGGAGCCGGGGCAACAGCUGGCUCCACAUCCAGCUCUUUCGGGCCCGGCAAAACUGCCAAUUUACAAAUGGCACCCGGCUCCGCCUCCUCCCCGACAGGCUGCUCCCUCGCCGAGUACAGCUGCUCCAACGGACGCUGCGUGCCGCUGAGCAAGUACUGCAACAACGCCAACGACUGCGGCGAUGGGAGCGAUGAGCCUCGGUUUUGCACACGCUGUAAUCGCACCUACUACGGAGACAUCGGGCAGACGUACGCCCUGGAGUUGCACCGACCCAAGCAGGAUCGCGUGCCCUUUGUGUGUGUGCUCACGUUUACGGCGGCAGGUGGGCAGCACGGCGACGUGGUGCAGGUCACCCUGGACAGCUUCACGAUUGGGAGAUUCACCUCGUACGUGCACGAGGGCUGUCCGGAUGGAUACAUGCAGAUAGCGGAGUCAGCGCGAACGCCCAUCGGCGGAAUGUGGUGCGGCACAUCCUGGGGACCAGUGCUCUUCUACAGCGAGACCCGCUCCCUGAUAUUCACCAUCCGGCUGAACAGACUGGCGAGGGAUCAGAGUGGUUACAACUUCGACUUUCGCAUCCGGUACAAGGUGCUCUCCAGGGACAGUUCGGUGACCCGCUACGGGGGUAUUAAGCUGGCAGAGCUAGCCCAGUGGCAUAACCGCAGCAGCUUCCUCAACCAACAACAGCAGCAGCAGCAACAGCAGCAACAGGCCCCAGGAAUCCUGGAGGACUUCACCAACUCGAGCGUAGCCCGUUCUGACCGCUAUGGCCAGGAUUUUAGCCUGUUUAGCGCAUAUGCCAAUAACAAGACCUUCAUGGCCUCACUGGAAAAAUCCCUGGCCAAGGACGAGCAGAACUACACGGAACCAAAAUACUAUCUGGGUGACCUCAUACCCGGGACCUACUGCUCAAGGAUCUUCAGCGACUGCGACAAGAAGUCCUGUCGACUGCAAUCGCCCAACUUUCCCGGUAUCUAUCCCCGCAACCUCACCUGUUACUACGCAGUGCGUCAGCACGACGUGCCCCAUGGCAAGCACGCCCUGAUUCUAGUCAAACAACCGAAGGGCAAUCUGGUCUGGAUUUCCACCCAGGAAACGGCCGCGGCGAAUAAAAUGGCACCACCGCCGAGUGCCAGCGACAAGGAUAAGAAAUUCGAGCCGAGGCUGAAAACAUGGAAUGACUGCGAUUACAUUCAGGAAAAUGUAAAGCCCAAAUGGAAAUCCACGGACUACGUGACCGUGUAUGAUGGCUAUACCACACGUGACCCCAUCAUUUUGAAGUUCUGCGGCGGCGGUCAGGCGGUGCCGGCGGCCGUUUCCAGCGGCCCGGAGCUUCUGGUCGAGUUCAGCACGUCGCCGUUUGGCACCUUCACCGGCACCUCGUCGCAGGUCCUGCCACUUUACGGUUUCCAGCUGGAGGUGGAAGUUCAGUUCGUGGACAUCCAGAGUCCCACGUACUCGAAGAACAAGAAGCCAUGCGAGUUUUGGAUUCGCGGCGCCGGGCGUGGCAUUCUGGAGAAUCCCAAGCAUUCGCUAGCACCGAACUCCACGUGCCUGUACCACCUGCAGGGACUGGGCGUCUUCAAGACCUUCGACCACCUGAGUUUGUCGCGACGGACGAGCAGCCAGUCGGGAAUGCAUCAGCCGCUGUCGCGCUUCAAGGUCUGGAUAUCCGUUCUCAAGUUCAACUUGGAUCCGGAGUUCGGGCGAGUGGAUGAGACCUCUGUGGGAGCGAUAGGAGUGCUGCAGACGCAAGAGGAUUGCAGUGGCAUGCUGCGCAUCUGGGAUGGAACUCUGAGGGAUGCUCCCGUCUGCAAGGACUUGAACUGUGUUAGCGAGACGAGUAGCUACAACACCUUGGGUCACUAUGCGCACAAUUCCACCAAUGUUAUUGCCCGUUUCUGUCGGGGCACAAUACCCCGCACCUGCGAUCGUUCCAACAUUAAUGAGACCUACGCCCGACCCUGCACCAUCUCCGAGAGCUAUGUGUCCACAAGUGAUGCCAUCACACUGGAACUCCGCAACACCGAAUCCACUGUGCUCAGACCACUGGACUUUAAGCUCAAGUACGAGUUUAUUGACCUGCACCAGGAUGGACUUCCCUGGGGUGGCGGCGAACAUGAUUGCAACCGAAAGUUCCUCAGCAACAUGAUGGACCGAAAGGAUCCCGCCAUUUUCCGGAGUGUUCGAAAUAUAUUCCUUUUUGGAAGAGGCGGCACCAGGAAUCUAAAGUGUGUCUACAAGUUCGAGGCACAACGAGGAGAACGGGUCCGGAUUAAGCUACGUAAGGUGACAACCACCAAUCGACCCUGCUACUCGCGUGUGGAUGAGGACAUUAACCGAUCCUUUUGCUACGGGGAUACCAAUGUUAGAAUUGAGAUCUUUGAGAGGCCCUAUCACGACUCCAUCUUGCUCCAUCGCGGCUGUAUGUGCAACUCCUCAAAUCAGUCCCACCUGCCCGUGGAGUACACCUCGACGAGUCGCGAUGUGGAGGUGCACUUCAUUGCCCAGAACAUGACAACUUUGGAUGACCCCGAUACGGUUAACUUCGAGGGCAUGUUCGAGUUUGUCAAGGCCCCGACAAGCUGUAAAGAUGGACGCAGAAAGUUUGGUCCUAGUGGUACCAUAGAUAUGACCUUCGGAGAUGUGGAGUGCCGCUCGAGACCCUGGUUGAUUGAGCCCUCGAAUGGCAAUAAGUUCUUAUAUGUGCGACUCAAGGCUAUCUUCCUGAGUAAGCACAAUCCGAUGAAGACUCUGAACACAACCUUUGUUCAGUCGGAUACUUGGAGAUGUGAGACCAAAUCCAGAGCUGUGCUAACUACUUCGGAGGGUCUCACCAUUGUGGCCUGUCCUCUGAGUCCCGACUCGAGUGCCUACGAAUUUGUGGAGAUCUUCAGCUCUGGAUGGAAUGAGAGGCCCAACUUUGCACUUAUCAAUCGAUCAAGGGCCAUUAGCGUGGAGUUCCUGAGACCAGGAAAUGGCGAGUACUCCUUUAACUGGAUGGAACUGAUACCCAGGCCCACGCUUAGCAUGGCGGAGGACUGUCAGUUCAAGUGCGCCGAGCUGGGAGCCUGUGUGAAUGCCAGCGUUUGGUGCGAUGGCGUCGUCCACUGUCCCUCAGGUGAUGAUGAGGCCUUCCUGCAGUGCUCGGCUCUGAUGAAGCUGCCCGCCGAGAUUUUGGCCACUCUCUGCCUGAUCUUUGUGCUCUCGUGUUGUGCAUUUGCUGCCUUUGCCUACAAGAAAAUCAAACGCAAGCUGCGGGGCUCCUCGGUGCUGCAGACGCGACUCAAGUCGCUCAGCUCGAUGGACACCGCUGUGCUGGAUGAAAAGGAGGUGAUUUGCUGACAAAGCGACAAUUCUGUGCGUUACGUGGAGAUCGACCGUGUGACCACGGUCUGAUGCUCGACGGCCAGUAACGUGCAGAAUUGUGCCCCGGAACAGACACCAGAAUCGCUACCACAAGCCAACCAAGAAACAGAAACCACAACCACAACUGACGCGAAUGCGAAACGCAACAAUGAAACGAUCAAAAGAAAAGGCAACACUUUUUCGCAAUCAAAAUCAAAACCAAAACCAAUACCAAAAUCAAAAUCGAAAUCGUUCACUUGUUUUUUAAACCGCAUUUAUAAGAGAAUCAACCGGAAUCCGCGACACUCGGCCGGAUCGCGUUUUUUCUAUUUGUAUUGACCUCUAUUUUAUAGAUCGCAAGACUCAUGUCGGAUGACUCGUGCUCGUUUUUUUCCAGUGUCGCGCAAUUUUAUAAGCAAUUUUCUAGGCCUAGGGUUUUUUCGUAUGUAUUUUCGAUAUAAUUUCCCAACUUGACCCACUUGAGCACACAUAUACUGUACAUAACACGGAAGGACGAGGACCAGAAAUCGAAAUCGGACUGACUCUGACCAGUUACAACUUCCUCUAGGCGCUCGUGUCCUUGGUUCUUACAGAGUACUCAUAGACCUAUGUAGAUACAACUGUUUCCUAAUAGCCUUUAAGUGAAUCGUACUAUGCUAAUCGAACCGACUAAAUAAAAUUGAGGGAAUAGAUACAUCCAAUCAAUGAGCUAGAGACCAUAUAAUGGUAAGAUGUGUAACGUCAAAUGGUUCUAAACUCUUUUGAAAUUUUGUUGAGAGAGCGGCCACAAUCUCAUCUGUUUGUGGAAGAAAAACAGAAUCAUUAAUAUAUGAGCGUUACGCAUCUUAUCAACAUAUUAUCUUUAGUUGAGAAAACGAGCAGGGGAAGGAUUAGUUUUUUUCGUGGAGUGUUUCAGAAACUCCCACAGCAUUUAUUAUGCGGCGCACAGAAAACCAAAACAAACAUGAAGAAACCAAAUGAAAAAUACUCAUAAUUAGUAAAAAUUAAAUGGAGCAAGGAGUUUAAUCGACAAUUCCAAGCGUAGAUCAAAAAAACCGUCGUUGAGACCAAGAUCUAAGGCAAAGCAAAGCAAAUGCCCGGCCUGGCCAUAUGGAGGGAGCAGGAUCAGGGAUCAGGGACUCCGAAACAGAGACAACAGAGAACAACAGAAUCAGUGUGUGAAUCAGGCGAAAUGCUAUUUUUGUUGAUACUCUUCUUCCUUUUUAAGAACUGUAAAUAAAACAAACAGAAGCUGUAUGAUAUUAACAAUUUUA